AGUGAACGCUGGCGGCAGGCCUAAUACAUGCAAGUCGAACGGCAGCACAGCAGAGCUUGCUCUGUGGGUGGCGAGUGGCGGACGGGUGAGGAAUACGUGGGAAUCUGCCCAGUCGUGGGGGAUAACGUAGGGAAACUUACGCUAAUACCGCAUGCGCCCUUCGGGGGAAAGCCGGGGACCUUCGGGCCUGGCGCGAUUGGAUGAGCCCACGUCGGAUUAGCUAGUUGGCGGGGGUAAAGGCCCACCAAGGCGACGAUCCGUAGCUGGUCUGAGAGGAUGAUCAGCCACACUGGAACUGAGACACGGUCCAGACUCCUACGGGAGGCAGCAGUAGGGAAUAUUGGACAAUGGGCGCAAGCCUGAUCCAGCCAUGCCGCGUGAGUGAAGAAGGACCCUCGGGUUGUAAAGCUCUUUGUCCGGAAAGAAAG
rnacentral:rRNA from 1 species